CCCUUAGAUGUUCUGGGCCGCACGCGCGCUACACUGAUGCAUUCAACGAGUCUAAAACCUGCUCUGAUAGGGGUGGGUAAUCUUUUGAAUGUGCAUCGUGAUUGGGAUAGAUGAUUGCAAUUUUUCAUCUUCAACGAGGAAUGCCUAGUAAACGCAAGUCAUCAGCUUGCAUUGAUUACGUCCCUGCUCUUUGUACACACCGCCCGUCGCUCCUACCGAUUGAAUGAUCCGAUGAAUAUCAUGGAUUGAGGAUGCAAGUAGGUUCGCCUAUCUUCAUCUUCGAGAAGUGAAGUAAAUCUUAUCAUUUAGAGGAAGGAGAAGUCGUAACA
rnacentral:rRNA from 1 species